AGAGUUUGAUCCUGGCUCAGAUUGAACGCUGGCGGCAGGCUUAACACAUGCAAGUCGAGCGGUAGCACAAGAGAGCUUGCUCUCUGGGUGACGAGCGGCGGACGGGUGAGUAAUGUCUGGGAAACUGCCUGAUGGAGGGGGAUAACUACUGGAAACGGUAGCUAAUACCGCAUAACGUCGCAAGACCAAAGAGGGGGACCUUCGGGCCUCUUGCCAUCAGAUGUGCCCAGAUGGGAUUAGCUAGUAGGUGGGGUAAUGGCUCACCUAGGCGACGAUCCCUAGCUGGUCUGAGAGGAUGACCAGCCACACUGGAACUGAGGCACGGUCCAGACUCCUACGGGAGGCAGCAGUGGGGAAUAUUGCACAAUGGGCGCAAGCCUGAUGCAGCCAUGCCGCGUGUGUGAAGAAGGCCUUCGGGUUGUAAAGCACUUUCAGCGAGGAGGAAGGUGGUGAGCUUAAUACGCUCAUCAAUUGACGUUACUCGCAGAAGAAGCACCGGCUAACUCCGUGCCAGCAGCCGCGGUAAUACGGAGGGUGCAAGCGUUAAUCGGAAUUACUGGGCGUAAAGCGCACGCAGGCGGUUUGUUAAGUCAGAUGUGAAAUCCCCGGGCUCAACCUGGGAACUGCAUUUGAAACUGGCA
rnacentral:rRNA from 1 species